UUCAACUUGCUGCAAAAUAGAUAAACGAAUAUCUCAAUAUAUUCUUCUGUUUUUAGUAGUAACCAUCAAGCACCAAAUCAAACCUCAACAUCAAGAGACCAGAGUACCAAAGAAAAAAUAGUGAGAAUACAAAAAUAUGAAAUAUGAAAUAAGAGGAAGAAAGAACCAGCAGGAAUUGUGUGUUUAAUUUGUUUAUAGAUAACCUCUCCUGCAAAACCAUAUAGAAAAAUAACAAAUAAAGACUCUACGCUAAGAAAAGUAUGCUGCAGAAAAGUAUAUUCGCAAUUGAAUUUGUAUGUCAUAUGAAUAAAGCUGGAAAGUAAAAAUAGUAAAGAAUGACUUAUUGAAGAAACAUGAUUUAUCUUAACUCUCCUUUCUUAUCCAUAGUAGCCAGUAUCUACACACUGCAAUUCAGAUGUAUAUACGGAGAUUAUCCAAGAAAAAGAUAGACAUGUACUACAGAAUCAUAAAUACUGAAUCUCUCCAAAUAUUAAGAUUUGUA
rnacentral:lncRNA from 1 species